ensembl:snoRNA SNORA70 Small nucleolar RNA SNORA70
UUGCAGCCAAUUAAGCCGACUGUGCUCUUUUCCCCAUGGGGGCCCAGUGUGCAGUGGCUGCAAACAGCAGCCUCCUCGGUAGUGUAUGUAGCCUGUUGCUUGUACAGGUUGCCCUAAGGGACCUUGGAUACAGCU